rnacentral:rRNA from 1 species
GUCGGGAAUAUUGCACAAUGGAGGAAACUCUGAUGCAGUGACACCGCGUAUAGGAAGAAGGUUUUCGGAUUGUAAACUAUUUUAGACAGGGAAGAAAAAGACAGUACCUGUAGAAUAAGCUCCGGCUAACUACGUGCCAGCAGCCGCGGUAAUACGUAGGGAGCAAGCGUUAUCCGGAAUUAUUGGGUGUAAAGGGUGCGUAGACGGGACAGCAAGUUAGUUGUGAAAGCCCUCGGCUUAACUGAGGAACUGCAACUAAAACUAUUGUUCUUGAGUGCAGGAGAGGAAAGCGGAAUUCCUAGUGUAGCGGUGAAAUGCGUAGAUAUUAGGAGGAACACCAGUGGCGAAGGCGGCUUUCUGGACUGUAACUGACGUUGAGGCACGAAAGUGUGGGGAGCAAACAGGA